AUGGCGACCGGCGCACGGGUGAGUAACACGUAUCCAACCUGCCGAUGACUCGGGGAUAGCCUUUCGAAAGAAAGAUUAAUACCCGAUGGCAUAGUUCUUCCGCAUGGUAGAACUAUUAAAGAAUUUCGGUCAUCGAUGGGGAUGCGUUCCAUUAGCUUGUUGGCGGGGUAACGGCCCACCAAGGCGACGAUGCGUAGGGGUUCUGAGAGGAAGGUCCCCCACACUGGUACUGAGACACGGACCAGACUCCUACGGAAGGCAGCAG
rnacentral:rRNA from 1 species